AAAAAACCCUGUCAUUAUCAUGCUCUCUUAAAGGAAAGACAGGAAAAAGGCAAGUCCCUAAGCUGAGAAAUACAGAGGUGAGAUCUGAAGCUCUGUGCUGACAGUCAUGGAAGCUACCCUGCACAGGCACAAGGAUCCACACAACACCUUUACUGGGGAACAUCAAUUCAAGAAGGCAACAGAGAUGUUAAUUGUAAUAGAUCCACCGAUGUAAUUCUCAUAACUGAGUUGCUCUAUCUUGACCUACAUCAGCUGUGCAUGAGAACUGCAACUUUCUCUUUUUCACCAAGUGAUUGA
rnacentral:lncRNA from 1 species